rnacentral:lncRNA from 1 species
UAAUCCCUGAAAUUUCAAUUAUACUAGAAAUCAAGAUUCUUCAUUUUUACUCACGAAACUGACACUAAGUAUAUACCUCAUUAAGGACAAGAAGCUAUGAAUUCUCUGGACUUCAGUUAUCUCACAGAAAAGAGCUUGAUUGAAUAAUGUCUAAGGCUCUUCCUGACAUAGUCUAAAUAACAGAAGGUGUCUCACAAGAAAUGGAAGCAGUGAGAGAAAAAUGCAAUUAAAUCCUAGACUAGAAAGAAUCACAAUUUUCCCACUCACAGGUUGGAAAUGCCUCUCUAUUCUAUCACAAUUUUGAAAACCUCCAUAGUUUUACUAGCUUUGCCUUUCUCCCUUGCUAUCAUCUUCUGAGGUACAGACAGUCCUUUCCAUUUUUAUUCCUCUCCCACUCUGAUAAUUUUUUUCUUUGACAGAAGUCCCACUUUAUCAUUAAUGAUGACAAUAACUAAGGCUGCCAGGAACAGCACAUCUGCUGAGCUUUAUCAACACCAGAUUCUCUCAUUUUGCCUUCUGGAUCUCCAUGCUUUUUUAUACCAACAAACAAGAGGAAGAAUAUUCUCUACCCACUUCCUUGACUGAAGCCUGCUCUUUUAUGAAGACAUGGCAUCUCUUCCAACCGUGUCAAACAGAUGCAAUUUAUAUGUCUGCUGCUUCCAUACCCUGAUUAAAUGGGUCAGUGGCAGAAUCAGUAUCCUUAGUCUCCCCUUUGGUUUCAAAUAUGUACUCCUUAUUUCAGUUUCAUGCUCACCUUUCUGUAGAGACCAAGGCAUCUGCCUUUGCAGCUUUACCUCUUCCUCCAGGUUAUAGUUUCCAUUCAUGGAAUCUUUUAGCUGCUGGCUGGCAGUUUUCCUGUCUACCUGACUUCCAUUCCUCUUCUCAUGACUUCAGCUCCCAUGCAGAUGUCUUAUCCUGACAUACUAGCUUCUCCAUUCUAUUUCUGUGUGUGUGUGUCUGUGUGUUUCCCUACUAGUUCAUCCACAU